rnacentral:rRNA from 1 species
UGAGUAGGCGGUUAUAUAUGUCAGAUGUAAAAGGCUAUGGCUUAACCAUAGUUAGCAUUUGAAACUGUAUGACUUGAGUGCAGGAGAGGUAAGUGGAAUUCCUAGUGUAGCGGUGAAAUGCGUAGAUAUUAGGAGGAACACCAGUGGCGAAGGCGACUUACUGGACUGUAACUGACGCUGAGUCACGAAAGCGUGGGUAGCAAACA